CCCACAAGAUGCAGUAGUGAUAAAGUCCGGAGAAUGUGGAGUUUCUUAUCAUUCAUCAAACUGAAAGUACUACCUUUAGAUUCAUACUGUUACAGUAAGGUCACCGUAGUUCCAUUUUUAGCGACGUUCCAAUUCCCUUUUCACUUCUGCAUUCAUGGUUGAUUUGGUGUUCAGCAGCGUAAGUGUCUGACCACUUAAGAGAACGCAAGUUCUACAGCUACAACAGGUAGGAAAUGUAUUAACUCACAGGAUUUCUGCACUUCUAUUCUCUCUCUCCUAGACGAGGAUAACUCUGAUCUAUAUGCGUUAGCCAACCAGCAGUGAACAGUUAAGUAAUGAUGGUUCAAUUGUAGCAUUGUGUCAACAAUAGAUAUAUUUAGUUAGCCUAUGUGACUGUGGGGAGUGUGACGGUGGGGAGCCUAGAAACUGACUGAAGUGGGAGUAAAGAUGAGAUACUGCCAAAGUGCAGAAGGGACACACAACGACUACAGUGUUAUCACUUCUCGUCUUCAUGAAAAAGUACAUUUUACAUUUCGUCUCAUCCGCCAUUCAGGUCAAUCCCACCAAUCUGUGUCACGCACCAUGGGCAGAUGUAUCGAAGUUUGCAAGCUGGUCUUAUGGGUUGCAGUUUGUGUGACCUUCAUUGUCUUGGGUGCUGUGUACACUGAUGACUGCCCAGUGAAACGUGUCAUCCCUAUCCACAUGAUCAUUUCUGGAUCUUUCGGUCUCCUCUAUGUAUUCUUCUCCUGCUGCAAGGACCGUGUUGUGUGCCAACAUUUGUCUAAACUAUUUUGGUUCAUGAUCAUCAUCUGGCUCAUUAUUGGUACGAGACAUCAAAUUACGAUACUGUUGGAGGAAAUUAUAGUUGAAAUGAUUAAUUAUGUAUACAUUUAAAUUAGAAACAUCUAUUCUAAUACUAUUAUGUUAUGGUAUGAAAUGUAUGGGUUCUUGGUUAAGCUGUUACUGAAAAUGUAAGUAAAACGAAUUAAUUGUCUGUACCUUGCGGGUUUAAGGGAGGGAGAAAAGUAUAUCUUUUAGACAGAUUGGAAUGUUUGUUUUAUGAGGGGAGUAGAAGAAGGUCUCCAGACCUGAAGACACUGCGCUAUUGUGGGGAUCGGAGAGAGUGUGUGAAACUGAUGACGUCAUUUUAUGUUCUCUCUUUAUAAUGUAAUGUUCUUUGUAUUUUGGGGCAGUACUCAUCAAGAAUAAAUGCUGAACUUGUUUUUAAGACUGGUCUCUUGCUAUUUCCUGCAAAAUGAUAAACUUACAACUUAUUAUGAAAUAGAUAAGAGUGUGAAUUUGGUUUUGGCUACAAAACAUAUAGGAAUUUAGAAUUCCUCUAACAAUUGGUCCUAGACCUGGAUCUAAAUACCCCUCCCUGUUAUCUGGAGGUAGUACGCUGAAAAUCGUGCACGGACGGGAGACACCCGUUUAAAAAAGUCCUGGCCUCCGAAUUGAGGUUAAAAUUCAGGCCAGCAUAUUAUAACAGAAAUCAGGGAGGGUGACUAGAUACAACGAACAUUGCUUUCCCAGUCGGCGAUAAGGUCAGUAAUCUUUAUUCUUGAUUAAGGGGGAAUGACUUAAAUUAUCAUAGGGUGGAUUUAAGUUGUUCUCAGAUUGAAAGUCAACUCUACAAAUAGGCUAUGCUUGGAGCGACAUUUUAGUUCAAAGUCCUAUAGGAACAGCGACUUACUGUAUAUUCCUACAGUGAUCACUGUAUACGGGUGAAAACUAGUGUCAGAUCGAGUGAUGAAUGGACUGGGGGGGUCUUUCCCGGUUUUUAGUAGUCUGUGUUCUUGAUAGUGAAAAGUGAUUGUGUGGUUGAGGUUCCGGGGAAGAAAUGGAACAGGUGAUUUUAUACCAUCAGCUUUCAAGAAUAGACACUGCAGGAUUGGUUUUGGGACUGGCCUCGGUCCAUUUGUUUUCGGUCAACUUUACAAGUAGGCUAUGUUUGGAGCGACAAAGUUUAAGUCAAAAGACCUAUAGGAACAGUGAUUACUGUAUACGGGGGAGUUAAAUGUCAGAUUGAACAAUGUAUCCAGCGGAAAGACAGAACAAGUGACCCCAUAGAUAUAUAGUUCUUGAUAAUAGACACUGCAGGUUGGUGGUCUUUAUUUAGAUUAUGGGGAACAAUUGAGUUGCUUUUCCGUUGGUCAUUUUCAAUCAACUCUACAGAUUAAGCUAUAUUUGGGGCGACAUUUUAGUUCAAAGUCCUAUAGGAACAGUGAUUACUGUAUAUUCCUACAGUGAUCGCUGUAUACGGGUGAAAACUAGUGUCAGAUUGAACGACGAGUGGACGGAGACUCUUGAGACUCUGUCUAUUUGUCCUCGGUCAACCCUACAAGUAGGCUGAUUUGGAGCGACAAUUUUAGCAGAAGUCCUAUAGGAACAGUAAUGUAUUGUAUACGGGUGAGACUUAAUGUCAGACUUUAGUAGAUGAGGAUUCCAAUAAAGAGAUAUUAACCAUAAGGUGUUAAAUAUUGGAAUUACUAGGAGUGAGUAGAUAAGGAUUCCAAUAAAGAGAAAUUAACAUAAAGUGUUGAAGAUUGGAAUUAUUAGGAGGGGCAGGAAUUUAUUAUAAUGGGUAGUAAUCCCUCUAAACUGCUUUCUGAAGAGACGGAAGAUUACCGUUAUAUGAAACAAAAAGAUCGAAGGAAUGUAGAUUUCUGUCCUAAAUGGGAAAAAAGGUAUGGUUUUGACGGACACCUAGAUGUCGAAAAGUUAGAAUCCCUUAUAAAACAGAUACAAAGGGAGCGAGAUUAAUGAGAAUCCUAAACUGAGGGAAAGCGUUGGGCGUCUAAAUUGGGGCUAUUUUCUGUUGUCAAGAUGUCGGAGUAACAAAUACAGAUAACUGUAAAAAUGGGUAUAUUUGCAGAGAGUCUCAGUCAGUUUCAUAGCGCUGGUGGUAUAGUGGUGAGCGCAGCAGUUUUUACCAACGGCAAUCCACGGUUCGGUUCCCAUCCGAGGCGGUUAACUAAAACUGAUAUUAGAGUGAAAUUCACCUAUUUGCAUGUUUUGCCGGAAAAAUACGGUCGCCAGUGUUUGUCUAAAUAUAACUGAACGUUUAUUAUGUGUUUUAGAUUGAAUAAAAAUAAAUAAAAAAGAAGGCAUUAAAAAUAAUGGCGAGACAAUUGAGGUAAUACGCUAUUUUGCCCAAAAUGAUCUGGGGGAAUAAUGUAUUGAGAUGGGAGUCGUAUUUAAAUAAAUGUAUCAUAGAAGAGAAAGUCACCUAAAGUUAAAUGUAGGGAAUAACGGAGAGAUACGAUACAAUUUCAUGCUAUCCGGACGUUAUAGCUAUUUAUGAAUCGACUGACAUAUGAUAAAUUUAGCACAAAACAUGGUACGUUUAAAUGUUAGGGUAUGGUAAGUUGAGAAGUUGGGUUGGUUUUACUUUGAUGAUUAGAAUUUAAAACUGAACGCAAUCUGAAUAGGGAAUAUAUAUUUUACAGAGGCAGGCAGAUGUGUGAUGACGUUUCACGUUGAACAACAUCGUUCCUCAAAUUUAAACAGGGAAAAGGGGUUGUGGCAUUUAGAGGGAAAAUGCGUGCAUUAUACCUUAGAGUUACUUUUCAAAAGCGGCCAGAAGUUCCAAAUACAUUUCUUUUAAAAAGGAGAAGUAUCGUAAAGAUAGUCUGAAAAGAUGCUACAGCUUGCAACGGCAGUGCUAGGCACUCAAUGGGCUAUAUAGUGCACCGCUUUGGACUAUAAAAUAGGUAAGAAUAGUUUAAUCGUAAAAAGUUGUGAUUGUUUUUCCGAGUAUUGAUUUUUGGUUAGGUAACGCCUGGGAAUUCGAACUAGAAGUUAACGUAUCCUAAAAAAACACUAUCUAUUUUUCUCUACUUUUCUUUACGGGGAGAAAGUAUGUCUUGUCUUAAAGGGACAGUGCACGUCAAUCACAGUGGUUUGAGUGUAUGGCAGUGUAUAAAAUAUUUUGGGACGACAAUUUGAAGAUAGACUGAAUGAGUUACAUGAAACAUCAAGAGAUUUAAAACAAACGAUGUGAAGGGAUUAUCUGAAUUAUUGGGUGUCGUUGUAGUAGUAAAAGUUUGGGUUAAGGGGAUUUCCCUGUUCCCAGUGACAAGGUAUUUUAAAGGUUUUGUAGAAUAGACUGAAGCAACCAGCUGGAUGGCUUGGCAGAAUAGAAUUGCAUUAGAUAUGUUAAUGGCUGAAAAGGGAGAAGUAUGCGUGAUUAUCAGGACCAUGUUUGUGCAUACAUCCCAAAUAACACAGCUCCGGACGAAUCAGUGCCCGAAGCCUCAGCUGGUUUGACCACCCUGGCUCAAAGGGUUGGCAGAAACUCUAAGGUGGAUACUUCUCUGACUGAUUGGGUUUUGAUAGUACGUUUGGAAAAUGGAAAAAUGUUAUGAUCACUGUGUUAUGGGCUACAUUCACCUGUGUGACUGUUUUAGUUUUAUGGGGCUGUUGUCUAAUUCCCUGUGUAUGAGGCCUUGUUUCCAGAACUCUGGAGAAAAUGAUGACUCAGCAGAUGAUGAGAUAUGGGCCGAUUCCAGGUUCUGACCCGUGGAGGACUGAAUGUAUGACUACAGAACAAGUGGACGAAUCUGGAUCUUUUAUUUGUGGGGAAUUUAUAUUUCAUGAGACCAUUUUUGAUGUUUAGGGAGGCUAGGUUGUAUCCCAUCUCAAUAUUAGACUGUUUUUUUAAUAAAGAUUGUAACGAAAAUCCUGAUAAGCAGAGUUAUAAUUCUGAUGUAGGUUUAAAGGUUAGAUUAAGGUUAAGGUUAGAUUUGAUUAAUGAUGGGUGAAGAGUCGGAUAAACAUUUAUAAUAAUGUUGGUUAUGUGUCUAUUCAUAUGAUAAUCUGGUAAACCUUUAUAAUAAGGUUAGUUAUAAGUUUGUUCAUAUUUUUGUUUUUUUAUGUUUGAUGAAAUUAGAUGUAGAUUUGAAUGUAUAAUAUUUAAUCAAAGGGAGGAUUGUUGGAGGAAAUUAUAGUUGAAAUGAUUAAUUAUGUAUACAUUUCAAUUAGAAACAUUUAUUCUAAUACUAUUAUGUUAUGGUAUGAAAUGUAUGGGUUCUUGGUUAAGCUGUUACUGAAAAUGUAAGUAAAACGAAUUAAUUGUCUGUACCUUGCGGGUUUAAGGGAGGGAGAAAAGUAUAUCUUUUAGACAGAUUGGAAUGUUUGUUUUAUGAGGGGAGUAGAAGAAGGUCUCCAGACCUGAAGACACUGCGCUAUUGUGGGGAUCGGAGAGAGUGUGUGAAACUGAUGACGUCAUUUUAUGUUCUCUCUUUAUAAUGUAAUGUUCUUUGUAUUUUGGGGCAGUACUCAUCAAGAAUAAAU